rnacentral:lncRNA from 1 species
AAAAAAAAAUUUAAUAUAUUUUUUUGUAUUAUUAACCAAUCAAAUAUUGAUUAUUUUCUACUAUAUUUUUAUUUUUUUAUUUGUAUAUUUAAUUUAUGAUUUAUUAUAAUUUUUAUCCGCUGCAUCGCACGGGUUCCUACGCUAGUAUAAAUAAUGAGGGAUAAAUGUGAAAAAAGCUAAAAUAAAAUUCUGAAGCCUAAUGAGAAUGUUUGAGUUU